GUCCUAGCCGUAAACAAUGGAUACUAGGUGUUGAACAGAUCGACCUGUGCAGUACCAAAGCUAACGCGUUAAGUAUCCCGCCUGGGAAGUAUGCACGCAAGUGUGAAACUCAAAGGAAUUGACGGGGGCCCGCACAAGCGGUGGAGCAUGUGGUUUAAUUCGAUGCAACGCGAAGAACCUUACCAGGGUUUGACAUGAUACGAAUUUUUUUGAAAGAAAAAGUGCCUUUUGGAACGUAUACACAGGUGGUGCAUGGCUGUCGU
rnacentral:rRNA from 1 species